GAUGAACGCUGGCGGCGUGCUUAAUACAUGCAAGUCGAGCGAACAGACGAGGCUCUUGCUCCUUUGACGUUAGCGGCGGACGGGUGAGAAACGCGUGGAUACCCUCCCUAUCAGACUGGGAUACCUUCGGGACAGCGGAUAUAAUACCAGAUAAUAUAUUGAACCGCAUUGUUCAAUGGUGAAAGACGGUUUUGCUGUCUCUAAUCGCUGGAUCCGCGCUGCAUUAGCUGGUUGGUAAGUUAACGGCUUACCAAGGCAACGAUGCGUAGCCGACCUGAGGGGGUGAUCGGCCACACGGGAGCUGGAACAGCGUCCAGACGCCUACGAGAGGCAGCAGUAGGGAAUGUUCCGCAAUGGUAGAAAGCAUGACGCAGCAACGCCGCGUCAGUGGUGAAGGCGUCCGGAUCGGAAAACUCUGUUAUUAGGGAAGAACAGAUGUGUAAGUAAACGUGCACGGCUUGACGGUAACGGAUCAGAAAGCAACGGCUAACUACGUG
rnacentral:rRNA from 1 species